CAAUGAAAGGACUCCUCCAUCUUCAUGCCCAUUAAAUGGUUUAGUGGAUAGAUGCUGACAAACUAGACUCAACAUCAGUCUCAGCAUCUCCUCUGCUGAACAUAACUGGGCUUGGUUCCAGUGUCAGAAGCAAGCAUAAUCAUUGCUGUGUCCUCAGUCCACAGGGCUGCAUCUCUUGAAGCUGUGAGCUAUGCCAUUGAUAAUUUAAAAGCCAAGGUGCCCAUUUGUAAAAAGGGCAUUUAUAUAAUAUCGCUUUUCCAAGGUGAAAUAUGAAAUAUACAUGCCCGAAAGAAUGCAUCACAAUCCAGUAAGC